CACGUAUUUAUUUACAAUGUUGCGAGGAUACAACUGCGACAUAUAUAAUGCAUGCAUCCCAAGAUGGCACCCUAUUCCCUAUAUAGUGCACUACUUUUCACCAGAACCCUAUAGGGCUAUAUAGUAGUGCACUAUAAAAUGGAAUAGGGUGCCAUUUUGGGAUUCAUCCCCAUAUCUUAACUUUCAUUCCAAUCUGACGUACACUCAUGAUAAAGACAGAACCAUUUCAUUUCACCAAUAAGGAAACAUGGGCUGAGCUGCUGACAUUUUUCUUUCAGGUUUUUCCCAAAAAUGAAUGAAUAUAUUGUAUCAAUCACUAAAAAGACACAUUUUGAAACUGUGAAUCUACAUCCAAAUACAGGUUGAUCAACAAAAAAAAAAAGAGUUUUCAGAAGAGGUUAUAUCGCUGUAGCGGAUCUGAAAAAUGUGUUUGUGCAAAUGGACCAUGCUAGAAAUGGAGUCGUUAUGUUUGUCUGUUUUUUUAACCCAUUCCCUCAGAAACACACACCAACUGAAAACCAUUCCCUCAGAAACACACGCUAACUGAAAACCAUUCCCUCAGAAACACACGCCAACUGAAAACCAUUCCCUCAGAAACACACGCUAACUGAAAACCAUUCCCUCAGAAACACACGCUAACUGAAAACCAUUCCCUCAGAAACACACGCCAACUGAAAACCAUUCCCUCAGAAACACACGCUAACUGAAAACCAUUCCCUCAGAAACACACGCUAACUGAAAACCAUUCCCUCAGAAACACACGCCAACUGAAAACCAUUCCCUCAGAAACACACGCCAACUGAAAACCAUUCCCUCAGAAACCCACGCUAACUGAAAACCAUUCCCUCAGAAACCCACGCUAACUGAAAACCAUUCCCUCAGAAACCCACGCUAACUGAAAACCAUUCCCUCAGAAACACACGCUAACUGAAAACCAUUCCCUCAGAAACACACGCUAACUGAAAACCAUUCCCUCAGAAACACACGCUAACUGAAAACCAUUCCCUCAGAAACACACGCUAACUGAAAACCAUUCCCUCAGAAACACACGCUAAC
ensembl:lncRNA